rnacentral:precursor_RNA from 14 species
UUGCAGAGCUUUACAAAAAAGGUCACAAUCAACAUUCAUUGCUGUCGGUGGGUUUAACUAUGCGGACAAGCUCACUGAACAAUGAAUGCAACUGUGGCCCCACUUCUUGCGAUCACAGUCA